rnacentral:rRNA from 1 species
GUUACGCGAGACCUUACCUGCCCUUGACAUGUCCGGAACCCUGCAGAGAUGCGGGGGUGCCUUCGGGAGCCGGAACACAGGUGCUGCAUGGCUGUCGUCAGCUCGUGUCGUGAGGUGUUGGGUUAAGUCCCGCAACGAGCGCAACCCUUGUCCCUAGUUGCCAGCGCGUAAUGGCGGGAACUCUAGGGAGACUGCCGGUGACAAACCGGAGGAAGGUGGGGAUGACGUCAAGUCAUCAUGGCCCUUAUGGGCAGGGCUACACACGUGCUACAAUGGCGAAUACAAAGGGUUGCGAACUCGCGAGAGCCAGCUAAUCCCGCAAAGUUCGUCGUAGUCCGGAUCGGAGUCUGCAACUCGACUCCGUGAAGUCGGAAUCGCUAGUAAUCGCGAAUCAGAAUGUCGCGGUGAAUACGUUCCCGGGUCUUGUACACACCG